rnacentral:lncRNA from 1 species
AUGGUCAACCCCACCAUGUUCUUUGAAUUUGCCGUCGACAGCGAGCCCUUGGGCCAUGUCUCCUUCGAGCUGUUUGCAGACAAGAUCCCAAAGACAGCAGAAAAUUUUCGUGCUCCGAGCACUGGAGAGAAAGGAUUUGGUUAUAAGGUUUCCUGCUUUCACAGAAUUAUUCCAGGGUUUAUGUGUCAGGGUGGUGACUGUGAAGUCACCAUAAUGGCACUGGUGGCAAGUCCAUCUACACGGAGAAAUUUGAAAAUGAGAACUUCAUCCUAAAGCAUACAGGUCCUGGCAUCUUGUCCAUGGCAAAUGCUGGACCCAACACAAAUGGUUCCCAGUUUUUCAUCUGCACUGCCAAGACUGAGUGGUUGGAUGGCAAGCACGUGCUCUUUGGCAAAGUGAAAGAAGGCACGAAUAUUGUGGAGGCAUGGAGUGCUUUGGGUCCAGGAAUGGCAAGACCAGCAAGAAGAUCACCAUUGCUGACUGUGGACAACUCGAAUAA